UACGGGAGGCAGCAGUGAGGAAUAUUGGUCAAUGGGCGAGAGCCUGAACCAGCCAAGUAGCGUGAAGGAUGACUGCCCUAUGGGUUGUAAACUUCUUUUAUAAAGGAAUAAAGUCGGGUAUGGAUACCCGUUUGCAUGUACUUUAUGAAUAAGGAUCGGCUAACUCCGUGCCAGCAGCCGCGGUAAUACGGAGGAUCCGAGCGUUAUCCGGAUUUAUUGGGUUUAAAGGGAGCGUAGAUGGAUGUUUAAGUCAGUUGUGAAAGUUUGCGGCUCAACCGUAAAAUUGCAGUUGAUACUGGAUAUCUUGAGUGCAGUUGAGGCAGGCGGAAUUCGUGGUGUAGCGGUGAAAUGCUUAGAUAUCACGAAGAACUCCGAUUGCGAAGGCAGCCUGCUAAGCUGCAACUGACAUUGAGGCUCGAAAGUGUGGGUAUCAAACAGGAUUAGAUACCCUGGUAGUCCACACGGUAAACGAUGAAUACUCGCUGUUUGCGAUAUACGGCAAGCGGCCAAGCGAAA
rnacentral:rRNA from 1 species